GUCUGUUGGGGCACCUCUGCCCAGGAGAGAUGGACGAGGUAGGUACAGACAGGUCUGAGGGAGGAGGAUGGGAUGCAGGCAGAGGCCGGCAGCGUCACUCUAUGAGACACAGGCUCUGGGUUUCCUGGCUUCUUACAGGAAGCACAGGGAGGGGACUCACCCACACUUGAAUUUUUUUUUCUUGGCUCUGGGUCUUGAGACAUGUGGGCAGGGGGCCUUGGCCGCUCUUGGGUGGGGUUGGCAGCUGCCACAAAGAGUGGCUAGGUGGCCCCUCAGGCGCAAAGUCCUUUCCUAGGGCCCUUCACCUCUCUCUUCUGACCUCCUCGGAUCACCCUCGGAUCACCCUCAGGUCUGUGGGCAUUUCCCUGUUUUACAGAAGAGGAAAUGGAGACCUGGCGACCUCAAGGAUUUGCUUCAGAGUUCCAGAGCCAGUGAGGGCCAGAGCUGGGAGAGAUCACAUCUGCCCCGUGCAAGCCCCAGGCCCUUCCCUCUGCUCCUGCCUGAAGUGACCCAAGUCUGAGGCAACCAUUCAUGAUCUCCUAGAUCCGUGACCUUGAGGAGCUGUGGCCACACACUACAGGAGACCGAUGGCCUAGCUUGUCCCAAAUCUCCCCUCCAGCUGAACUACCUACUCCUAGGCCUGCCAAGUCCCCAAAUUCCCUUAGCCAACCAGGUCUGGGGUGGGGACUUGUGGCCUCCAGGCCUAGGUUCAACUCCUAAUCCCUGUUUCAUGAUGUGUGACUUUGGGCAAAUGACUUGAUGUCCGAGUCCCAAUUUUCUCAUUUGCAAAAUGGGCACCACACUGCCUAUUUGUAAAUUAAAGGAAAAUGGCAGCUGGUGUUAGUAGAAGAGCAUGGGUGGGGCUCCCCAGAAGGCCUCUGGGAAAAUGCUCUGUAUAUGAUGGUUCUUGGUUACCACCAGGCCCCCAAAUGUCCCCUCCUGCUAUUGGUUCUUGUUUCCUCAGUGAGGAGGUGCAGGCCUGGCUUCUGGUGAACUCCAGACAGCCACCAUUCAGGUCAACCUGUUCAGGUCAACAGGGCCUUCUGCACGGUGCCCAGUGUGUGGCCUUCGCACAACCCUGAGAGGUAGGUCCUCCUUUAUCCCCAUUUUACAGAUUAGAAAACUGAGGCACAGCAAGGUAGCUGUGGGCAUGUCUCCGGGGCCACACAGGUCAGAAAGCAGCCCCGGGAGAGCCCACUCCAGCCUCCCACCUGGGCAGGGCAGGUGUGUGGUGAUGGCUGCCUCUGCCUCCCUUUUGGGAGGCCAGAGGCCAAAGUCAAGGGUUUGAGUUCACACAGCUGCUGCAAAUGGAGCCUGUGAGGCCAAGAAGAGAGCUGAGCACUUUCCCUCCUGGGAGGACAGACAGUCUGGGGAUCAGGAGCAUCUGGGAGGACUGCCUGGGGGAGGCUGCCUCUUCCAGUCUCAUCCUGCCACCCCUGCAGGCUAAUGCCACCCUGACACAUCUCACACCUCCUGACACCGCCCAUUCCCAUCCAGCCACCCUGCCUCCUCUGCUCUCCUGCUACCGACCCACCCCCUGCAGCUUUAGCGGGCUCUAAAUCCCCUUAAACCCUUUUUUUGGCCGCCCUGUGUCAUCUACCAGCGUAAGUCCCAAAUGCCUCAUGACUGUCUCAGACCUGUCCCUCUCCCCUCUGCCCCACACCAGCCUCCACUGCUCCCCAAGCACACUCUUGUGUUUCCACACCUCUGGGUCUUGGCACGCCGCUGCCAGGAAUCCCUUCCUUCCCCCCACUUCUGCCCAGCAAACUCCUACUCAUCCAUCAAGAGCCUGCUCCAGCAGCUACUCUUUCAUGAUGACCCCACCAAUGCCCUGCCCCCCAAGCAGAAUUUGUCUUANNNNNNNNNNNNNNNNNNNNNNNNNNNNNNNAGGCCAAGAAGAGAGCUGAGCACUUUCCCUCCUGGGAGGACAGACAGUCUGGGGAUCAGGAGCAUCUGGGAGGACUGCCUGGGGGAGGCUGCCUCUUCCAGUCUCAUCCUGCCACCCCUGCAGGCUAAUGCCACCCUGACACAUCUCACACCUCCUGACACCGCCCAUUCCCAUCCAGCCACCCUGCCUCCUCUGCUCUCCUGCUACCGACCCACCCCCUGCAGCUUUAGCGGGCUCUAAAUCCCCUUAAACCCUUUUUUUGGCCGCCCUGUGUCAUCUACCAGCGUAAGUCCCAAAUGCCUCAUGACUGUCUCAGACCUGUCCCUCUCCCCUCUGCCCCACACCAGCCUCCACUGCUCCCCAAGCACACUCUUGUGUUUCCACACCUCUGGGUCUUGGCACGCCGCUGCCAGGAAUCCCUUCCUUCCCCCCACUUCUGCCCAGCAAACUCCUACUCAUCCAUCAAGAGCCUGCUCCAGCAGCUACUCUUUCAUGAUGACCCCACCAAUGCCCUGCCCCCCAAGCAGAAUUUGUCUUAAUUAAUUUUUUUUUUUAAAUUAGUAAUGGGAAUUAACCCAGAGGCACUAAACUGCUGAGCCACGUCCCCAGUCCUUUUUAUUUAUUUUUUUUUAUUUUGAGACAGGGCCUCGCUAAGUUGCUGAGGUUGACCUUGAACUUGCAAUCCUCCUGCCUCAGACUUCUGAGUUGCUGGGAUUACAGGCAUGCACCAUGGUACCUGGCUCUGUGUGUCUGUCCCUCUGGGUAAGGGAUUCCUAGUGGACAGGAAAUAGUCUCACUUGCCUGUGGUACCCCCAGAAGUGGGCACAGAGUCUCAAUUAUUUUUAUUGGUUGAACUCAUGAGUAUAGGUUUGUUGAAUGAAAAACCAGCCCCCCUAGUAGUUUUGAACUGUGUUUGCAUCUCUGUAGCUUUGGAAAUGUUUUUUGGAGUCACUGAGGAGCCCUGGCCUAGGAUUUGCUAUUUUCUGAGCCUGUUUAUGAGCUUUGGGAAGAGCAGAAAGUAACCCCAACUUCAAUCAAAUACUCGUGUUCAGAGAUGUCUUAACUGGAAUUAGGAUGUUGGAGUCCAGGGUUGGAUUCCUGGCAAGAUGAGCACUCAGGGAGGAGUCCCUGUCCCUAAAUGCUCCCUCUCAGUUACCUAUGGCCUGACAUUCCACCAUUAGUGAUUCAUUUCUUUGGAUCAUUCAGUCAACAAAUCUUUAUUCAGCUCUCCCUGGAGGGGAGGCACUGUGCUGGACCCUUGAGUUGACAUUUAAGUGUGUAUGUGCUACUUCUCCUUCUGGAAGGAAGGAAGAAACAGAAGGGGUGGGAUAUGAGUAAGACUGGAGGACUGGGCACUACUGGGAUCAUUAGGGAUCAAAUAGCCACCUCAGUCUCUGUCCUGUCUGAAUAGCACAGAGGCCACGUGGUGUCUUCUGAGCAUGCUCACACACCCCCACACCCCCAACAGCCCCGCUAUGUGGAGUGUCACUACCAUCUUACCCAUGAAGAAACUGAGUUUGGAGAGGGGAGGCGAUGAGCCCAGGAUGACAGAGCUGGAACCAGCAUCAGAACUCAGCCCUGCCUGGGCUGCUCAGGUGCAGGGGGCACUGGCUCACCCCUUACUGGUGUCCAGAUGGCCGGGGCUCUCAGAGCCACCACAGCUCUUCCUUGCCACUCAAGCCUCACCCUCUGGGACCCAGGGUGGCCCAUGUGCCUCUUUGUCCUCCAUUGUACAGGCAGCAGGGGUGCAGGGGUAGGUGCAGAGAGCACGGGAGCUGGGGCUGAUGGCCUUCCACAGAGCCCUGCUCCAGCUGAUGGGCUGUGUGACUUUGGACAAGCUCCUCAACCUCUGGGGCCUCAGGCUCCUCAUCUGUAAAAUGGGCAGGAUGCUGUGUGCCGCCUGCCUCUCCGUCUGCUCAUUUGUUCAACAAAUACCCAUCGAGCACCUUGUGCCCAGCUUCUGUGCUGUGUGCUAAGAAGACGGUGCAGAAAGAAAAGCUCCUCCUGGGCUGGGGAUGUGGCUCAAGCGGUAGCGCGCUCUCCUGGCAUGCGUGCGGCCUGGGUUCGAUCCUCAGCACCACAUACAAACAAAGAUGUUGUGUCCGCCGAGAACUAAAAAAUAAAUAUUAAAAAAAU
rnacentral:lncRNA from 1 species